UACGUAGGUGGCAAGCGUUGUCCGGAUUUACUGGGCGUAAAGAGCGCGCAGGCGGUCGUGCAAGUCGCGUGUGAAAGCCCCCGGCUCAACUGGGGAGGGUCACGCGAUACUGCUCGACUCGAAGGCAGGAGAGGGAAGUGGAAUUCCCGGUGUAGUGGUGAAAUGCGUAGAUAUCCGGAGGAACACCGGUGGCGAAGGCGGCUUCCUGGACCGAUCACUGACGCUGAGGCGCGAAAGCUAGGGGAGCAAACGGG
rnacentral:rRNA from 1 species